rnacentral:rRNA from 1 species
UACGUAGGGUGCAAGCGGUAUUCGGAAUCACUGGGCGUAAAGGGCGCGCAGGCGGUUUUGUAAGUCUAAAGUGAAAUCCUUGGGCUUAACCCAAGGGCUGAUUUAGAUACUGCCAAACUCGAGUUCGGGAAAAGCAAGCGGAAUUCCUGGUGAAGGGGUGAAAUACGUAGAUAUCAGGAAGAACACCAGUGGCGAAAGCGGCUUGCUAGAACGCAACUGACGCUUAGGCGCGAAAGCGUGGGGAGCAAACAGG